GGCAGUGACGACUCUGGAGAACUGGACACGGACGACAGCGACACGACGAGGGGAUUUGACUCUCGUGGAUCACGGGGCCUCAUCGGCAGGUCAACGCCCCUACUCCGUGCUGCCUCGACUAUGGCUGCCUGAAUCAACUUGGGAUUCAUGCUCACCUACAUGUGAUCUUGUAGUUGCAUUGCAAAACACAUGGUUAAGUGCUCCUGAAGGGACGAACGCUGCUAGAGAUCAAUAAAUCCUUCCACGGUGUUCGCAACAUUUUGUAUGACAGGUCCAGCGACGGGGCAUGCCCGAGCUACUGCUCCUGGUGUGGCGUGCUGUGGAACAUCAGUCAACCUGUCAGGGUUCAAUCAUGAUGGCGAAAUCUCAUGGCCCACAUUGCAAUGAGAAGCAGAGUUGUGACAUACACCAACGAUGACCAGAUGAUUGAUAUUCUUCUUUGAAGAAGAAGCUGGCAAAUUAUAUUUCACUUUUCUAUUGCACGUGGUAGAUGGUUAAAAGAUUUGUCAUCACUAGCUUGGUACUGUAAAUGGUUCCUACAUUGCGGACAUGAUGUUCAGUUUGUGUCUUUCUUCACUUGUAAAUGGUAGAUUUACUUGAUGUGAGAAAGUAGGUUAAAAGUCUCU